rnacentral:rRNA from 1 species
CCUACGGGGGGCAGCAGUGAGGAAUAUUGGUCAAUGGCCGGAAGGCUGAACCAGCCAAGCCGCGUGAAGGACGAAGGUGCCAAGCAUUGUAAACUUCUUUUGUCAAGGGACAAAAUCAUGCUCGAGAGCCUGACCGAGGGUACUUGAAGAAAAAGCAUCGGCUAACUCCGUGCCAGCAGCCGCGGUAAUACGGAAGGUCCGGUCUUUUUCCGGAUUUAUUGGGUUUAAGGGUAGAGUAGGUCGGCUUUUAAUUCAGCUGGGAAAGUCCGCGGCUCAACCGUUGAAGUGCAGUUGAAACUGGAGGCCUGGAGUGCACACAGGGAUGCCGGAAUUCAUGGUGUAGCGGUGAAAUGCUUAGAUAUCAUGAAGAACUCCGAUCGCGAAGGCAAGUGUCCGGGGUGCAACUGACGCUGAGGCUCGAAAGUGCGGGUAUCAAACAGGAUUAGAUACCCUUGUAGUC